UUGCCUGCAGCUAGCUCUCUGCAACUCUCACAUGGUUUCCCACCGAAACUAAGGAGGGCUGCGCCCAGUCAGUACCUGGAUGGGAAACCACAUGGGAAAGCGAUGUCUGCCGGAAGU
rnacentral:rRNA from 1 species